rnacentral:lncRNA from 1 species
GAUCAUUUCUUCUAAGUGUCCUAUCGAGCAAAGAAGCAACUCAUCAGAAUGAUGCCUGGAGGCUUGUCACGGGCCAGAUCUGCCACACCAGAAAUCCAGGAGAUUGCUGAUAAGGUUAAGUCACUGCUUGAAGAGAAAACCAAUGAGAAAUAUGAAGUGUUCAAAGCUGUUGAGUAUAAAUCUCAAGUCGUCGCUGGACAAAAUUACUUCAUUAAGGUUAAACGCUGACCUCUCUAGCACUGUUGUGAUUGUUUCCUGUUGCCCCAACUGUAGCUUCAUUUCUAACACUGGUCUUUAAUUAAGACACUUGGAAGUAGAAGACUCCCUGCCCCAAUCCAUUGGAUGGACCUUGUUUUACCUUGUUAAUAUACAAAGUUUUUUUCAUCUGUAUGUUAAGAAAUCAGGGUGAUCACAUACACACACACACACACACACACACACACACACACACACACACACACACACAAACACACACUCAUGAAGAAGCACAGAUAUGUGCAUGCAUUUACAUACCCAUAGUGUCAUAUAUAAUAGUAUUCUUUGGUUAGUAGCAUAGUAGUAGGGAGGGAUAUCAGAGCACAAUGUCAACUGUAGAAAACAAAACUUUUAUUGUUCUGAUAAGGAACAAAGUGGCAAUUCUUAAUCAGGAUAGUGUAGGUCUCCGGAUCACGCCCCAUCGCAAACAAAAUAAAACAAAACCAAACAAAACCAACAGAAAUCCACUGGGUCUAUUACAAUGAUGGUUCUUAGAUUUUUCUUCCUUCCUUUCUUUCUUUCUUUCUUUCUUUCUUUCUUUCUUUCUUUCUUUCUUUCUUUCUUUCUUUCUUUCUUUCUUUCUUUCUUUCUUCCUUCCUUCCUUCCUUCCUUCCUUCCUUCCUUUCUUUCUUUCUUUUUUUUUUCUUUACAAAGCCUGGUGGGUAGUCACAAAGUAGAUUGUAGCACAACAGACAUAUAGUGACUAUAUAGUCCAUAUUUUCCAAAUCAAAUCUUAGUUUCUUUUCCCUUAUCAAACUUUAUAGUAAAUCUUUGUCCCAACUUAGAAUUCAGACAAAUGAAUCACCCAAAACACGGGCUGCCCUCUGCUCCUGUUCCAGGCAUCAUGAAAAUAAAAUGUAACUCUGGAAUGUGAUCUUUGCCAAGAUUUAAAUAUAAAGUAAAAAAAAUUAAAUCCAGAUGGAGAAAUGGAUAAGUUGGUAGGAGUGCUGGCUGUUCUUGCAGAGGACUUAGGUUUGGGUCUCAGCACCCACAUGGCAGCUCACAACCAUCUCUGAGUCCAGGUCGAGGGGAUGUUCCACCCUCUUCUGACAUCUUCAGGCAUUGCACACAUGUGAUGCACGUAAGUACAAGCAGGCGAAAUAUUUAUACAAAAACAUUGAACAAAAUCUUUUACAAAGAGUAUUAAUAUAUCUAAGAUAUAUGUUUUCUGCCAUCCUGUUUGCUGUUCUCUCUGUUAAGGUAAGGGUUGAUGGCCGGUCAGUUGACCGGUGCUGCCUUGGGCCAGAGGUGUUGUUUCAGGAGAGCUUGGCACAUCUCAUCUGGACAAGAAAGAGUUGCCAUACAAUUGAGAUCCAUGUGAACUAACUUUCUCUCUGUCUCUCUCUCUCUGUCUCUCUCUGUCUCUCUCUCUCUCUCUCUCUCUCUCUUUCUUCUUUUCUGUCUUUCAGAUGGAUGUUGGUGGUGGUUGUUUCCUCCACAUAAAGGUCUUCAAAGGGAUUUCUGGAGAAAAUGUUUUAGAACUUCAUGGUUACCAGACUAACAAAACCAGGAAAGACGAGCUGUCCUACUUCUAAGCAGCAAAUUCUAAAGUGACCUGAUUCUUCUUGUAAACAAAUUUAGCCUUCAAUAAAGAAAUAUUCUUG